rnacentral:rRNA from 1 species
UACGGAGGGGGCUAGCGUUGUCCGGAAUUAUUGGGCGUAAAGAGCUUGUAGGCGGUUUGUCGCGUCUGCCGUGAAAAUCCGGGGCUCAACCCCGGACUUGCGGUGGGUACGGGCAGACUAGAGUGUGGUAGGGGAGACUGGAAUUCCUGGUGUAGCGGUGAAAUGCGCAGAUAUCAGGAGGAACACCGAUGGCGAAGGCAGGUCUCUGGGCCACUACUGACGCUGAGAAGCGAAGGCGUGGGGAGCGAACAGG